CAAUAAGAGAAAUCAAGUACUCAUCUUUGGUUUACAAAACCAAUGCUCUACUUAAGCUAUUAUUGC
rnacentral:tRNA from 1 species